GACGAAGGGGGCUAGCGUUGUUCGGAAUUACUGGGCGUAAAGCGCGUGUAGGCGGUUGUUCAAGUCGGGUGUGAAAGCCUUGAGCUCAACUCAAGAAAUGCACUCGGUACUGGAUGACUAGAGGACCGGAGAGGAUAGUGGAAUUCCCAGUGUAGUGGUGAAAUACGUAGAGAUUGGGAAGAACACCAGUGGCGAAGGCGGCUAUCUGGACGGUUUCUGACGCUAAGACGCGAAAGCGUGGGGAGCGAACAGG
rnacentral:rRNA from 1 species